UUUGAUGAUUCCAGAGUGAGAACACAAAUUCCUGGCCAUGCACUGAAUAUGUCCUGAGAGCUAAUGUGGUAUCGACUGAUUAAAGCUGAGAAGAGCAAUGAUGAGGAGGAGGCAUAAGCAGAGAGGAGGUUGGAAGGAAGAACAGUGGCCUGGAAGGAAGAGAGGAGCAUGCGUCCCAGCAGUCAGGACUGGAAUUCAAGCCACUACAAUAGAAGCAGAGCAAAGGAGCCCUUUAGACCUCCCAUCUCAGAGGACCUGGUUGAUUUCUCAAAUCUCUUCACUUCCAUGGGUUAUAACAAUGACGAGGAAAUGGAGGCUGAGCAACUUGCACAAGGUCACACAGCAAGUAAAUCAUAGCAUGGAAAGCAUGAGACCAGUGAUACAAGAAAAACUUUAGACAAG